rnacentral:rRNA from 1 species
UGCGUAGGCGGCCUGACAAGUCAGAAGUGAAAGGCUACGGCUCAACCGUGGUAAGCUUUUGAAACUGUCAGGCUUGAGUGCAGGAGAGGAGAGCGGAAUUCCUGGUGUAGCGGUGAAAUGCGUAGAUAUCAGGAAGAACACCAGUAGCGAAGGCGGCUCUCUGGACUGAAACUGACGCUGAGGCACGAAAGCGUGGGGAGCGAACA